CCUACGGGAGGCAGCAGUGAGGAAUAUUGGACAAUGGGCGCAAGCCUGAUCCAGCCAUGCCGCGUGCAGGAAGACGGUCCUAUGGAUUGUAAACUGCUUUUAUACAGGAAGAAACACCUCUACGUGUAGAGACUUGACGGUACUGUAUGAAUAAGCAUCGGCUAACUCCGUGCCAGCAGCCGCGGUAAUACGGAGGAUGCAAGCGUUAUCCGGAAUCAUUGGGUUUAAAGGGUCCGUAGGCGGUUUAAUAAGUCAGUGGUGAAAGCCCAUCGCUCAACGAUGGAACGGCCAUUGAUACUGUUAAACUUGAAUUAUUAGGAAGUAACUAGAAUAUGUAGUGUAGCGGUGAAAUGCUUAGAGAUUACAUGGAAUACCAAUUGCGAAGGCAGGUUACUACUAAUAUAUUGACGCUGAUGGACGAAAGCGUGGGGAGCGAACAGGAUUAGAUACCCUGGUAGUCCACGCCGUAAACGAUGGAUACUAGCUGUUCGGAGCAAUCUGAGUGGCUAAGCGAAAGUGAUAAGUAUCCCACCUGGGGAGUACGUUCGCAAGAAUGAAACUCAAAUGAAUUGACGG
rnacentral:rRNA from 1 species